rnacentral:rRNA from 1 species
UACGUAGGGUGCAAGCGUUGUCCGGAAUUAUUGGGCGUAAAGAGCUCGUAGGCGGUUCGUCGCGUCGGCUGUGAAAUCCCGAGGCUCAACCUCGGGUCUGCAGUCGAUACGGGCGGACUGGAGUUCGGCAGGGGAGACUGGAAUUCCUGGUGUAGCGGUGAAAUGCGCAGAUAUCAGGAGGAACACCCGUGGCGAAGGCGGCUCUCUGGAACGCAACUGACGCUGAGACGCGAAAGCGUGGGGAGCGAAUCCGG